rnacentral:rRNA from 1 species
AAUAUUGCACAAUGGGGGAAACCCUGAUGCAGCGACGCCGCGUGAGUGAAGAAGUAUUUCGGUAUGUAAAGCUCUAUCAGCAGGGACGAUAAUGACGGUACCUGACUAAGAAGCCCCGGCUAACUACGUGCCAGCAGCCGCGGUAAUACGUAGGGGGCAAGCGUUAUCCGGAUUUACUGGGUGUAAAGGGAGCGUAGACGGUGUGGUAAGUCAGGUGUGAAAGCCCGGGGCUCAACCCCGGGAUUGCACUUGAAACUAUCAUGCUAGAGUGCAGGAGAGGUAAGUGGAAUUCCUAGUGUAGCGGUGAAAUGCGUAGAUAUUAGGAGGAACACCAGUGGCGAAGGCGACUUUCUGGUCUGUAACUGACGCUGAGGCGCGAAAGCGUGGGGAGCAAACAGG